rnacentral:rRNA from 1 species
AGUGAACGCUGGCGGCAGGCCUAACACAUGCAAGUCGAACGAGUGGCGGACGGGUGAGGAAUAUAUGGGAAACUACCUGGUAGAGGGGGAUAACGACUGGAAACGGUAGCUAAUACCGCAUACGAUCGGAUGAGCCCAGAUGGGAUUAGCUAGUUGGUGGGGUAACGGCUCACCAAGGCGACGAUCCCUAGCUGGUCUGAGAGGAUGACCAGCCACACGGGAAUUGAGACACGGUCCAGACUCCUAAGGGAGGCAGCAGUGGGGAAUAUUUGACAAUGGGCGCAAGCCUGAGGCAGCCAUGCCGCGUGUAUGAAGAAGGCCUUCGGGUUGUAAAGUCCUUUCAUCGGGAAGGCGGUACCCGCAGAAGAAGCACCGGCUAACUCCGGGCCAGCAGCCGCGGUAAUUC